UACGGAGGAUGCGAGCGUUAUCCGGAUUUAUUGGGUUUAAAGGGUGUGUAGGCGGGCUUUUAAGUCAGCGGUAAAAAUUCGGGGCUCAACCCCGUCCGGCCGUUGAAACUGGGGGUCUUGAGUGGGCGAGAAGAAGGCGGAAUGCGUGGUGUAGCGGUGAAAUGCAUAGAUAUCACGCAGAACCCCGAUUGCGAAGGCAGCCUUCCGGCGCCCUACUGACGCUGAGGCACGAAAGUGCGGGGAUCGAACAGG
rnacentral:rRNA from 1 species